GGAGAGGUGGGUGAGUGGCUGAAACCAGCGGUUUGCUAAACCGCCGUACGACGCAAGUUGUACCGAGGGUUCGAAUCCCUCUCUCUCCGCCA
rnacentral:tRNA from 3 species